UGAUAGUGCAAAGUACUGUGAAGGAAAGAUGAAAAGAAUUUUUGUAUAAAAAUUAAAAGAUUUUUAAAUUUAGUGAUAUAUUCAGUUUUAGCUUAUUGUUAAAACGUACCUUUUGUAUAAUGGACUAACGAGUUUAUACUAAUAGCGAGUAAAUUUAAAAAAUUACGUAUUGAAAAAUCUUUUUAAGUUAUUAGUGUAAGACCCGAAGCUAAGCGAUCUAUUUAUUAUUCAGUUGAAAAUUUAAUAAAUUGGAAGACUAAACUCAUAAAUGUUGCAAAAUUUUGAGAUAAAUAGUAAAUAGGGGUGAAAGGCUAAUCAAGCUUAGUUAUAGCUGGUUUUCUAUGAAAUCUAUUUUAGUAGAGUUAGUAAUUUAUAAAUUUAAUUAGGUAUAAUUAUUUCUUUUUAAAAUUAUUUAAAAUAGUUUAUAUUAGAAAAUUUUUUAAUAAAUUAAAUUAUAAUUACUAAACAGAUUAAUAGCGCUAAGGUUUUUAAUCAAAAGGGAAACAGCCCAGAUUAUAAAUUAAGGUAUUUAAAAUUAUUUAAUUUGUAAGGUUAAAUUAAAGUAUAGUAAUUAAAAGGUAAGCUUGGAAGCAGCUAUCCUUUAAAGAAAGCGUAAAAGUUCAUUAAUUACUACUUAAUUGUAAAUAUAUUAAAACUUUAAUUUAACUAAAAAUGUAUAGAAAUUAAAAUAAUUUACCGAAAUUAUAAAUCUAAAUAAAAGAUGGUAAUAGAAUAUGGUGUAUUUUGUAGUUUUUAUUGAAAAAUUUAAAUAAAAAAUCACUAUAGAUAAUGUUAGUAUUAGUAGUAGAUAUAAUGUGAAAAACAUUAUUGUUUAAUAAAUUAGAUUUAUUAUGUAAAGAUAAUCUUACAUAGUGUGGUUACUAACCUAAAAAUUAUAAAUAAUUUUAAUAGUUUGAUGGUAUAGAUGUGUUAAGUAAAUAGCUGUAGGCUUAUUAAUAUUUAAAAUUUUUAAUAAUAUUAAGUUUAUGGUUAUUUUAUAAAAAACUUAACAUAAUAUAAUAGUAUUAAGUCUAACGCAAGUAUUUUAGUUGAAAAAAUGAAAACAAAAAGAUUAAUAAUAUUGAAGGAACUCGGCAAAUUAACUUUGUAACUUCGGGAUAAAAAGGACUAAAUGUAAAUUAAAAAAAAGGGGGUAGCGACUGUUUAAUAAAAACAUAAGAUUUUGCUAAAUUUAAUAAAAUGAUGUAUAAGAUCUGACACCUGCCCAAUGCUGCAAGGUGAAAAAAAGUAGUAUUGCUGCUUUUAUAAACCCCAGUGAAUGGCGGCCGUAACCCUGACGGUCCUAAGGUAGCGAAAUUCCUUGACGGGUAAGUUCCGUCCUGCAUGAAUGGUGUAACGACUGCCCCGCUGUCUCCAAUAUUAGUCUUACGAAAUUGAAUUAGUCGUGAAGAUGCGACUUAUAUACAGUUAGACGGGAAGACCCUAUGCACCUUUACUAUAAUCUAUAUAUAAAAUUUAAAAUUUAUAAUCUAGUUAUGUAGGAAAUUUAUAUUAAAUAUGGAAAACUACUUUACUAAUUUUAAAUUUUUAAAUUUAUACAAACAUAGUUAAAUAAAUUAUAUUUAGAUUGGUAGUUUGGCUGGGGCGGCCACCUCCUAAAAAGUAACGGAGGUGUAUAUAAGUUUUUAAAUUAUUAUAAUUUUUAUUAUUAUGAAUUGAAAUAAAUUUUUUAAAAUUGAUUAUUAUACAGACAAGUAUAGUAAGGAGUAUUUCUAUUAUAUUGACCCGGUAUAUUUUAGUAGAAAAAUUAUCGAGUAACGAAUAAAAGGUACGCUAGGGAUAACAGGCUAAUGAAUUUUGAGAGUUCUUAUUGAUAAAUUCGUUUGGCACCUCGAUGUCGGCUUAUCACAUCCUGGUAGUGUAUAAGCUAUCAAGGGUUCGGCUGUUCGCCGAUUAAAGUGGUACGUGAGCUGGGUUUAGAACGUCGUGAG
rnacentral:rRNA from 1 species